rnacentral:rRNA from 1 species
GAUGAACGCUGGCGGCGUGCCUAAUACAUGCAAGUCGAGCGAACGGACGAGAAGCUUGCUUCUCUGAUGUUAGCGGCGGACGGGUGAGUAACACGUGAAUAACCUACCUAUAAGACUGGGAUAACUUCGGGAAACCGGAGCUAAUACCGGAUAAUAUUUUGAACCGCAUGGUGCAAAAGUGAAAGACGGUCUUGCUGUCACUUAUAGAUGGAUCCGCGCUGCAUUAGCUAGUUGGUAAGGUAACGGCUUACCAAGGCAACGAUGCAUAGCCGACCUGAGAGGGUGAUCGGCCACACUGGAACUGAGACACGGUCCAGACUCCUACGGGAGGCAGCAGUAGGGAAUCUUCCGCAAUGGGCGAAAGCCUGACGGAGCAACGCCGCGUGAGUGAUGAAGGUCUUCGGAUCGUAAAACUCUGUUAUUAGGGAAGAACAUAUGUGUAAGUAACUGUGCACAUCUUGACGGUACCUAAUCAGAAAGCCACGGCUAACUACGUG